GACGAACGCUGGCGGCGUGCUUAACACAUGCAAGUCGAACGAAGUGGCGAACGGGUGAGUAACGCGUAAUCAACCUGCCCUUCAGAGGGGGACAACAGUUGGAAACGACUGCUAAUACCGCAUACUGAAGGCGGGGAGUGCGUCUGAUUAGAUAGUUGGAGGGGUAAAGGCCCACCAAGGAGAUGAUCAGGCGCAGGUCGGAGAUGAUUAUCGGCCACCGUGGGACUUAUAACCGGCCCAGACUCCGACGGGAGGCCGCAGUGGGGAAUCUUCCGCAAUGGACGAAAGUCUGACGGCGCAACGCCGCGUGAGUGAUGACGGCCUUCGGGUUGUAAAGCUCUGUUAAUCGGGACGCGGUACCGGAAUAGAAAGCCACGGCUAACUACGUGCCAGCAGCCGCGGUAAUUC
rnacentral:rRNA from 1 species